rnacentral:lncRNA from 1 species
UUUUCUUAACUUAAAAUCACUCUUUAUGAACUAGCAAUAUGCAGUUAAUAGGUUACCAAUGGCCAGCUACAAAUCUCAAAAGAGAAAAUACUUCUUUUUGGCAGCGUAUAUGCAGAAAUCUAUUCCUGUCUCCGUACUUUUCAACUGUGUCACUAAGCAAUGAAUAUAGUAGCCUUCCAACUGCUAAUUGUGGCUUACUAUUUACAAAGUUUAUUUAUAAACUCAUUUUCAUGCAAGUAUAAAAUACUAAUUCCAUAGACAAAUACACAUUUGUUCACUCUAAAUUAUAUACAUUGUAUUUGCAUCUAAUAUUCAGAGAAGUGCAAAGUCCACAGUGAUGUAAAUAACAAGUUUUGUAAACUAUUAGAUGACGAGCUCUCAAAAGAUAUCAGUAACUGUACGAUAACAUUUUUUUGUAUACUGCUGAAAUCAAACAUUUGUGCAGUAAAAGAACAUACAUUUCAGCUACAUUCAAGUGAUUAUUUUAUUACCAUAUAUUAUGUCUUACAAACUUCAGUGGAGAUGAGCAAGAGCGCUACAAAACCAUACCUUAAUGCAAGAGGUGUACUGCAUGGUAUGUGCAGGUAUAGCAAAGGAAAGACAAGAACUGGAAAGAAAAACAAGCUAAGGAAACUUGUACAAAAAUGGAUAGUAAUACUGACUAACACUGGGUUAUAAUCUUACUUAUAACAGACCUGAAAGGCUAAUAGAGAUCCAAUUCAGAAACACCUGUGCACUGUAGGUACAGUUUGGUGCAGAUCAAGAGCGCACUAAUACAGUCAAUGAUGUACGCAUAAGAUAAUGCACAAAAGACACUGAUAUGCAUAUAAACAACUAAUUUGUUUACAGUAAGUAGGGCAGCACAGUUGUAGUACUGCACCGUUGGCACUUGGUGAUAGGACAACAGGUAUUUGGUUUAACUAAAUUCAUAAACAGGAUAUAUACUGGUUUGUAAGAUGUAAAACACAUUAUCCCUUUGAACCUUCUGGUUUUACAGCAUUUUCCUAAUUUUCAAGUUCAAACACAAACACGAUUCACUAACUAGAUAUGGAAGACGUUUCAGAUUUGGCUUAAAACAAGACCUCCAAUUAAAAACAAAGGACAGAAACUCAAAUUAAUUCAAAUUACAUUAUUUAGAUCUGUUACUGAUGUCUUGUGCUGAAAACAGAAUCUGAAACGUUAAACAAAAAAAAAAAAAAAAAAAAAAAAA